GUGUUGUUGGGUAGGGGAGCGUUCUGUAAGCCUGUGAAGGUGGCCUGUGAGGGUUGCUGGAGGUAUCAGAAGUGCGAAUGCUGACAUAAGUAACGAUAAAGCGGGUGAAAAGCCCGCUCGCCGGAAGACCAAGGGUUCCUGUCCAACGUUAAUCGGGGCAGGGUGAGUCGACCCCUAAGGCGAGGCCGAAAGGCGUAGUCGAUGGGAAACGGGUUAAUAUUCCCGUACUUGGUGUUACUGCGAAGGGGGGACGGAGAAGGCUAUGUUGGCCGGGCGACGGUUGUCCCGGUUUAAGCGUGUAGGUGUGUGUUCCAGGUAAAUCCGGUUCACUUUAACACUGAGGCGUGAUGACGAGGCACUACGGUGCUGAAGCAACAAAUGCCCUGCUUCCAGGAAAAGCCUCUAAGCAUCAGGUAACAUCAAAUCGUACCCCAAACCGACACAGGUGGUCAGGUAGAGAAUACCAAGGCGCUUGAGAGAACUCGGGUGAAGGAACUAGGCAAAAUGGUGCCGUAACUUCGGGAGAAGGCACGCUGACAUGUAGGUGAAGUGAUUUACUCAUGGAGCUGAAGUCAGUCGAAGAUACCAGCUGGCUGCAACUGUUUAUUAAAAACACAGCACUGUGCAAACACGAAAGUGGACGUAUACGGUGUGACGCCUGCCCGGUGCCGGAAGGUUAAUUGAUGGGGUCAGCGCAAGCGAAGCUCCUGAUCGAAGCCCCGGUAAACGGCGGCCGUAACUAUAACGGUCCUAAGGUAGCGAAAUUCCUUGUCGGGUAAGUUCCGACCUGCACGAAUGGCGUAAUGAUGGCCAGGCUGUCUCCACCCGAGACUCAGUGAAAUUGAACUCGCUGUGAAGAUGCAGUGUACCCGCGGCAAGACGGAAAGACCCCGUGAACCUUUACUAUAGCUUGACACUGAACAUUGAGCCUUGAUGUGUAG
rnacentral:rRNA from 1 species